UAAAAAACUAGCAAAAUAUGUCAUACUCAGUUACAAGAAGCAUAAAAAACAUAUAUCAUCAACCAACUAAUUACAAGAAGUAAAUAUAAUUUUAUUUCUUAAGUUAAACCAAAAUAAAGAUGAAAAAAAAAACUAUAGUUCUUACCGAAAGAAGGCAGCGACGACGAUAGGGGAGGAUCAGAGUGGAGGCGUAAUAGACGGGGUAGCUCAGGUGGUGGGCAGCCGGUCACAGUCUCUCUUCUCUUGUCGUAUCUUUUCUUUUCUCUUUCUCUUCCAGAUUUGGAAGAGGAUUUUUGAAAGGGAUGUAUCGACGCACCAUGAUAAGCAUCGGAAGUUCCCUACUACUCCCAAUGCCUUUAGUAAUUGGCAGUUAGAGGCAAACUCCUGACGCAUUACUAGAGGCAUCAAGAAUUCUCCACUAUUGUUUGGUGCCUUUGUCAAUGCAUCAGGAGUUUGCCUCUAACUGCCAACACGGGAGAUACGCAAUCCCCUGACAUGCCGUUUGUUGAGUUGAAAGAUAUGGUAUCUCGCGAUGUCUUUUCUCCCGAAGACCUAGGCACAGCAGGGCUCCGAACUUUAGAAGAUAUGACAUCCGCUUUAGGUGUUGCUAUGCUCCAUAGUGCGCAGCACUGCGCUUCGAUAACCACUGACAAGCAUCGUGGCGUUUUUGCGUUUUCUAUAAAUAGCUCUCUUCCGUAAUUAAUUUGGGGAGAGCCGCCAUUACCCAAUUAAAACGUAAAAUAUCAAAUUUCUUCCUCUGUAUUAAAACACUUGUAUUACAUUAUUAGCUGUACACAAUUGAAGAUUUACGAUUUUGAUCAUGAGUUUGCUUAGUUAAAAAGG